UGGGGAAUAUUGGACAAUGGGCGAAAGCCUGAUCCAGCAAUGCCGCGUGAGUGAUGAAGGCCUUAGGGUUGUAAAGCUCUUUUACCCGGGAUGAUAAUGACAGUACCGGGAGAAUAAGCUCCGGCUAACUCCGUGCCAGCAGCCGCGGUAAUACGGAGGGAGCUAGCGUUGUUCGGAAUUACUGGGCGUAAAGCGCGCGUAGGCGGCUAUUCAAGUCAGAGGUGAAAGCCCGGGGCUCAACCCCGGAAUUGCCUUUGAAACUAGAUAGCUAGAAUCUGGGAGAGGUGAGUGGAAUUCCGAGUGUAGAGGUGAAAUUCGUAGAUAUUCGGAAGAACACCAGUGGCGAAGGCGGCUCACUGGACCAGAAUUGACGCUGAGGUGCGAAAGCGUGGGGAGCAAACAGG
rnacentral:rRNA from 1 species